rnacentral:rRNA from 1 species
UGCAAGUCGAGCGCGGGAAGCGGACAGAACUCUUCGGAGGGACGUUCGUGGAACGAGCGGCGGACGGGUGAGUAACACGUAGGCAACCUGCCUGUAAGACUGGGAUAACUCGCGGAAACGCGAGCUAAUACCGGAUAAUACUUAUGAUCUCCUGAUGAUAAGUUGAAAGGCGGCUUUUGCUGUCACUUACAGAUGGGCCUGCGGCGCAUUAGCUAGUUGGUGGGGUAAUGGCUCACCAAGGCGACGAUGCGUAGCCGACCUGAGAGGGUGAUCGGCCACACUGGGACUGAGACACGGCCCAGACUCCUACGGGAGGCAGCAGUAGGGAAUCUUCCGCAAUGGACGAAAGUCUGACGGAGCAACGCCGCGUGAGUGAUGAAGGUUUUCGGAUCGUAAAACUCUGUUGUUAGGGAAGAACAAGUGCCAUAGUAACUGAUGGCACCUUGACGGUACCUAACCAGAAAGCCACGGCUAACUACGUGCCAGCAGCCGCGGUAAUACGUAGGUGGCAAGCGUUGUCCGGAAUUAUUGGGCGUAAAGCGCUCGCAGGCGGUUCUUUAAGUCUGAUGUGAAAUCUUGCAGCUCAACUGUAAACGUGCAUUGGAAACUGGAGGACUUGAGUGCAGAAGAGGAGAGUGGAAUUCCACGUGUAGCGGUGAAAUGCGUAGAGAUGUGGAGGAACACCAGUGGCGAAGGCGACUCUCUGGUCUGUAACUGACGCUGAGGAGCGAAAGCGUGGGGAGCGAACAGGAUUAGAUACCCUGGUAGUCCACGCCGUAAACGAUGAGUGC